rnacentral:rRNA from 1 species
CUGCGGAGGACAUUACACAAAUAUGAAGGCGGGCUGGAACCUCUCGGGGUUACAGCCUUGCUGAAUUAUUCACCCUUGUCUUUUGCGUACUUCUUGUUUCCUUGGUGGGUUCGCCCACCACUAGGACAAACAUAAACCUUUUGUAAUUGCAAUCAGCGUCAGUAACAAAUUAAUAAUUACAACUUUCAACAACGGAUCUCUUGGUUCUGGCAUCGAUGAAGAACGCAGCGAAAUGCGAUAAGUAGUGUGAAUUGCAGAAUUCAGUGAAUCAUCGAAUCUUUGAACGCACAUUGCGCCCUUUGGUAUUCCAAAGGGCAUGCCUGUUCGAGCGUCAUUUGUACCCUCAAGCUUUGCUUGGUGUUGGGCGUCUUGUCUCUAGCUUUGCUGGAGACUCGCCUUAAAGUAAUUGGCAGCCGGCCUACUGGUUUCGGAGCGCAGCACAAGUCGCACUCUCUAUCAGCAAAGGUCUAGCAUCCAUUAAGCCUUUUUUUCAACUUUUGACCUCGGAUCAGGUAGGGAUACCCGCUGAACUUAAGCAUAUCAAAACGGGAAG